AGUAAUAUGUCUGAUUAGGUAUUAAACUGUAAAUUUAAUUAUAGAAUUUUAUUCUUAUUACUA
rnacentral:tRNA from 1 species